CCCAGCUUGCUGGGUGGAUUAGUGGCGAACGGGUGAGUAACACGUGAGUAACCUGCCCCUGACUCUGGGAUAAGCGUUGGAAACGACGUCUAAUACUGGAUAUGACUGCCGGCCGCAUGGUCUGGUGGUGGAAAGAUUUUUUGGUUGGGGAUGGACUCGCGGCCUAUCAGCUUGUUGGUGAGGUAAUGGCUCACCAAGGCGACGACGGGUAGCCGGCCUGAGAGGGUGACCGGCCACACUGGGACUGAGACACGGCCCAGACUCCUACGGGAGGCAGCAGUGGGGAAUAUUGCACAAUGGGCGAAAGCCUGAUGCAGCAACGCCGCGUGAGGGAUGACGGCCUUCGGGUUGUAAACCUCUUUUAGUAGGGAAGAAGCGUAAGUGACGGUACCUGCAGAAAAAGCACCGGCUAACUACGUGCCAGCAGCCGCGGUAAUACGUAGGGUGCAAGCGUUGUCCGGAAUUAUUGGGCGUAAAGAGCUCGUAGGCGGUUUGUCGCGUCUGCUGUGAAAUCCCGAGGCUCAACCUCGGGCUUGCAGUGGGUACGGGCAGACUAGAGUGCGGUAGGGGAGAUUGGAAUUCCUGGUGUAGCGGUGGAAUGCGCAGAUAUCAGGAGGAACACCGAUGGCGAAGGCAGAUCUCUGGGCCGUAACUGACGCUGAGGAGCGAAAGCGUGGGGAGCGAACAGGAUUAGAUACCCUGGUAGUCCACGCCGUAAACGUUGGGCGCUAGAUGUAGGGACCUUUCCACGGUUUCUGUGUCGUAG
rnacentral:rRNA from 1 species